AGGCCUCUCUCUCCGUGUUCACAGCGGACCUUGAUUUAAAUGUCCAUACAAUUAAGGCACGCGGUGAAUGCCAAGAACGGGGCUG
ensembl:miRNA MIR124-1 microRNA 124-1